GACGGAGGAUGCAAGUGUUAUCCGGAAUCACUGGGCGUAAAGCGCGCGUAGGCGGCUUUGCAAGUCGAGUGUGAAAUCCCCAGGCUUAACCUGGGAACUGCAUUCGAGACUGCAUGGCUAGAGUAUGGGAGAGGGAAGUGGAAUUUCAGGUGUAGCGGUGAAAUGCGUAGAGAUCGUAAGGAAGGCCAGUGGCGAAGGCGAGUUCCUGGACAGUUACUGACGCUGAGGCACGAAGGCCAGGGGAGCAAACGGG
rnacentral:rRNA from 1 species